rnacentral:rRNA from 1 species
CAGUCGCCGCGGUAAUGCGGAGGGAGCUAGCGUUGUUCGGAAUUACUGGGCGUAAAGCGCACGUAGGCGGUUAUUCAAGUCAGAGGUGAAAGCCCGGGGCUCAACCCCGGAACUGCCUUUGAAACUAGAUGACUGGAAUCUUGGAGAGGUCAGUGGAAUUCCGAGUGUAGAGGUGAAAUUCGUAGAUAUUCGGAAGAACACCAGUGGCGAAGGCGACUGACUGGACAAGUAUUGACGCUGAGGUGCGAAAGCGUGGGGAGCAAACAGGAUUAGAUACCCCCGUAGUCCCUGUCUCUUAUAC